rnacentral:rRNA from 1 species
UACGUAGGGGGCAAGGCGUUGUCCGGAAUCAUUGGGCGUAAAGCGCGUGUAGGCGGCCAGGUAAGUCCGUUCUGAAAGCCCGGGGCUCAACCCCGGGAGGCGGAUGGAUACUGCUUGGCUCGAGUCCGGAAGAGGCGAGUGGAAUUCCCGGUGUAGCGGUGAAAUGCGCAGAUAUCGGGAGGAACACCAAUGGCGAAGGCAGCUCGCUGGGACGGUACUGACGCUGAGACGCGAAAGCGUGGGGGAGCAAACAGG